rnacentral:rRNA from 1 species
UGGGCAACCUGCCCCAGACACAGGGAUAACCCCGGGAAACCGGGGCUAAUACCCGAUACUCCGAUCGAACCACAUGGCUCGAUCGGGAAAGCUCCGACGGUCUGGGAUGGGCCCGCGGCCUAUCAGCUUGUUGGUGGGGUAACGGCCUACCAAGGCGACGACGGGUAGCUGGUCUGAGAGGACGACCAGCCACACUGGAACUGAGAUACGGUCCAGACUCCUACGGGAG